AGGGCACCACCAGGAGUGGAGCCUGCGGCUUAAUUUGACCCAACACGGGAAAUCUCACCAGGCCCGGACACUGGAAGGAUUGACAGAUUCAGAGCUCUUUCUCGAUUCGGUGGGUGGUGGUGCAUGGCCGUUCUUAGUUGGUGGAGUGAUUUGUCUGGUUAAUUCCGAUAACGAACGAGACUCUGUCCUGCUAAAUAGUUCCCGCGUCCUUUGUUGCGCGGGAAAUUCUUCUUAGAGGGACUGGCGGCGUCUAGCCGCACGAGAUUGAGCAAUAACAGGUCUGUGAUGCCCUUAGAUGUUCUAGGCCGCACGCGCGCUACACUGAAGGGAUCAGCGUGUCUUCCCUUCCCGAGAGGGACGGGUAACCCGCUGAACCCCCUUCGUGGUAGGGAUCGGGGCUUGCAAUUAUUCCCCGUGAGCCAGGAAUUCCCAGUAAGCGCAAGCCAUAAGCUUGCGUUGAUUACGUCCCUGCCCUUUGUACACACCGCCCGUCGCUACUACCGAUUGAACGUUUUAGUG
rnacentral:rRNA from 1 species